rnacentral:rRNA from 1 species
ACGCUGUCUUCAGAGUUUGAUCCUGGCUCAGGAUGAACGCUAGCGGCAGGCUUAACACAUGCAAGUCGGGGGGCAGCGGGAUGUAGCAAUACAUUGCCGGCGACCGGCGCAAGGGUGCGUAACGCGUGAGCAACAUGCCCGUCACAGGAGGAUAAACCAUGGAAACGUGGCCUAAUACUCCAUAGUAUAUUUGGGAGGCAUCUCCUGGAUAUUAAAGCUUCGGUGGUGACGGAUUGGCUCGCGUGACAUUAGCUAGAUGGAGAGGUAACGGCUCACCAUGGCGACGAUGUCUAGGGGAACUGAGAGGUUAGUCCCCCACACUGGUACUGAGACACGGACCAG